rnacentral:rRNA from 1 species
GACGAACGCUGGCGGCGUGCUUAACACAUGCAAGUCGAACGGAAAGGCCCUGCUUUUGUGGGGUGCUCGAGUGGCGAACGGGUGAGUAACACGUGAGUAACCUGCCCUUGACUUUGGGAUAACUUCAGGAAACUGGGGCUAAUACCGGAUAGGAGCUCCUGCUGCAUGGUGGGGGUUGGAAAGUUUCGGCGGCUGGGGAUGGACUCGCGGCUUAUCAGCUUGUUGGUGGGGUAGUGGCUUACCAAGGCUUUGACGGGUAGCCGGCCUGAGAGGGUGACCGGCCACAUUGGGACUGAGAUACGGCCCAGACUCCUACGGGAGGCAGCAGUGGGGAAUAUUGCACAAUGGGCGGAAGCCUGAUGCAGCAACGCCGCGUGCGGGAUGACGGCCUUCGGGUUGUAAACCGCUUUCGCCUGUGACGAAGCGUGAGUGACGGUAAUGGGUAAAGAAGCACCGGCUAACUACGU